ACUUUGUCAAAGUCAUAAGUAAGCGUUGCGAGGUAUUGAUUAACCGAUUAGUUGCACUUCGAAUAUCUAAGUAUCUGUUAGUUCGCAAUCUCGAUGGGAAAGAUGAAACGGAGGCGAAGGCGAAGACGAGAACGAGGACGAGAUGCGGUGUGGCUCGUUGCGCAGUCUGUGCCUGACUGACUUCACCAUCCGAACGUCGGCCAAGAUCGUUGCCUUUCUGUGAAGCCACGGCCCAGACGUCGGCCAUAUCCCACAGUCACUUGGCAGGUAACCACUACGCGGACCAAUCGCAGCGCUCUCCACAACGGCAUCUCGCUCUGGCUCACUCGACCCAUUUAGCAACCGUCUCGCUCGCCGCCAGGGGGCGUCUCAGCUGUGAAAAGCACCGUGGAAUGGGAGAAGAGCAGAGAACUUUGGAUUGGGGGGUAUACGAGUACAAGGGAACCACAAUACUUCUGCUCCAGAUCCUGGGCAUUCCAUCCAUUCAAAUCCUAUGCAUAGUUUCGACUUUCACUGGUUUCCGGAAAUUAAUUAAUGCCGUAAGUAGCACGAUACAAUUUAAGCGUUACAUAUCCUUUAUGGAUACCUUGUUAUAAGGAUAAGGGAAUACUGGACUUGAGAGAUCAGUCUGCCUGGCGUUUGCUUUUCACUCUUCACUUGAGAUAUUCUUUGGGGUUCCACUUGGCCCCGGAAAUCAAAUUAGAUAUUCACUGGAACCCAUAAUGCAAUCGAGUACGCGUUUAACACUCUUUACAAGCGUAAUAU
ensembl:ncRNA asRNA:CR44592 antisense RNA:CR44592